rnacentral:rRNA from 1 species
GACGAACGCUGGCGGCGUGCUUAACACAUGCAAGUCGAACGGAAAGGCCCUGCUUUUGUGGGGUGCUCGAGUGGCGAACGGGUGAGUAACACGUGAGUAACCUGCCCUUGACUUUGGGAUAACUUCAGGAAACUGGGGCUAAUACCGGAUAGGAGCUCCUGCUGCAUGGUGGGGGUUGGAAAGUUUCGGCGGUUGGGGAUGGACUCGCGGCUUAUCAGCUUGUUGGUGGGGUAGUGGCUUACCAAGGCUUUGACGGGUAGCCGGCCUGAGAGGGUGACCGGACACAUUGGGACUGAGAUACGGCCCAGACUCCUAAGGGAGGCAGCAGUGGGGAAUAUUGCACAAUGGGCGGAAGCCUGAUGCAGCAACGCCGCGUGCGGGAUGACGGCCUUCGGGUUGUAAACCGCUUUCGCCUGUGACGAAGCGUGAGUGACGGUAAUGGGUAAAGAAGCACCGGCUAACUACGUG